rnacentral:lncRNA from 1 species
CAGCAAAGGCAGCCUCUGGGGGCUGAAGUCACUUUUGAUGAGCUCGGCCUCGGCUAAAAUAUGCACCCCAGUCUGGCUUGAGCCUGGUUAGACAGGGCCCAGACUGGUGAGACCCCUGGAGAUGAUCUUUAAAUGAUGGCUGAGAAACUGAAUGGGAGGGAGUUGGUUGAAAUGACAUCCUUUUUCUCCUUGUAGUGUGGAGGCGUUGCUGGGAUUGGGAAAGACGGAUCACAGUGUGUAAGUGUUAAACAGCGGUAGCGUCUUCCCCGCUAGAGGAGAGAACAGAAGAAAUGGGUCAGCAUUCUGAGGAGACAUCUUCUCUCUCCCUGCCGAGGGACAGACUUACAAAGGAUGCUCAUUCAUGGCACACUGGGAAUAACCAGAGGACCGUAUGGGGCUUCCAGGGUGUACAUGUGCCUGUGUGUGACUUGGG